CCCUCCCUCUUUCUUCAUGCCUAACACAUGCAAGUCGAACGAGACCUUCGGGUCUAGUGGCGCACGGGUGCGUAACGCGUGGGAACCUGCCCUUAGGUUCGGAAUAACUCCCCGAAAGGGGUGCUAAUACCGGAUAAUGUCUUCGGACCAAAGAUUUAUCGCCUUUGGAUGGGCCCGCGUUGGAUUAGCUAGUUGGUAGGGUAAAAGCCUACCAAGGCGACGAUCCAUAGCUGGUCUGAGAGGAUGAUCAGCCACACUGGGACUGAGACACGGCCCAGACUCCUACGGGAGGCAGCAGUGGGGAAUAUUGGACAAUGGGCGAAAGCCUGAUCCAGCAAUGCCGCGUGAGUGAUGAAGGCCUUAGGGUUGUAAAGCUCUUUUACCCGGGAUGAUACUGACAGUACCGGGAGAAUAAGCGCCGGCUAACUCCGUG
rnacentral:rRNA from 1 species